GAUGAACGCUGACGGCGUGCUUAACACAUGCAAGUCGAAGGGAGUGGCGAACGGGUGAGUAACACGUGAGUAACCUGCCCUUUUCUUUGGGAUAAGCCUGGGAAACUGGGUCUAAUACUUGAUGGAUUGGGAUGGGCUCGCGGCUUAUCAGCUUGUUGGUGGGGUGAUGGCUUACCAAGGCUUUGACGGGUAGCCGGCCUGAGAGGGUGGUCGGUCACACUGGGACUGAGAUACGGCCCAGACUCCUACGGGAGGCAGCAGUGGGGGAUAUUGCACAAUGGACGAAAGUCUGAUGCAGCGACGUCGUGUGGGGGAUGAAGGCCUUCGGGUUGUAAAACUCUGUUAUUAGGGAAGCGGUACCGAAUCAGAAAGCCACGGCUAACUACGUGCCAGCAGCCGCGGUAAUUC
rnacentral:rRNA from 1 species